GAUCUAAUAACGUGGAAUCGAGAUUCAUAAGAGAGAAGGGAGCCGAAGAAGAGGCGGCGAAUUCCGCGACCGUGUCGCUGCCGGGUGUCGCCGUCCGAGACCCGGAGACGAUGGAGUACAACGAGUCCUCGAUCAGGAGUGCCGCUCCCAGUAUACUCCAGCCGAGAGAUUCCAUCGUUUUCCUUCUCUUCUCCAUUUUGCUAUUCGAAAUAUUUUAGGUUUCAAAUGUUUGAUCUCGUGCUAGGUGAUUGCCGAUUUUGAUGGCAGGCACGCUCGCGACGUACUGGAUUUAUGGCCGCGGUGGUCAGAGUAGAUUGCAUUUAAUUUCUUCCUCUCUUUUAUUAAGGGGAAAUGACGUUGGUUUCGGUUAGAUUCUUGGUUUGUUGUGGUUGGGUAGCCAUGGAUUGCUAUAGCAGGGGAAUGCUGCAGGAGGAAAAAACUAAGCUGAUGAAAGAAUGGAACGUAAAUAUACUUGCUUCAGAACAGUCCUGGUUUGGUUGCCGGUCCAUCUUUACGACACAGUUUUGUCCUAGGUCUAGAAAUUAUUGAACUGAUUUUUUUGUUUUCAUCUGUUGGCUAUUUUAGUUGUCCCAGAAUUGCUCGCCCCUACAAUUUUGGCCUGGAUUGAUCCUUUCCCUUUCCUACGCCAACAUUUCUUGGCUAUAAACACAUUUGUCAGCAGCAAAUACCCUUAGACAUCAUACUAUUAGAUGUCAUGUAACGUAAAAAGCAUGUAUUGGAUCUUCAUAUCCUGGCUACAAAUCUCUCAAGGUGCUGGGUUGUGUUAUGUUUGACCUGUUUACUAAAUUGAUCGGGUUUACAAUACCCAAGUCCUACAUUGAGCUGGAAUAUGGAUUUAUAAAGCAUCGUAAGUACUUUUUAGGAGGCUUAGCUGACAUGGUUUUGGGCUUGGAUCCAACAAUAUGGUAUAGAGAAAAUCACAUAUUUUACAUUACAUGUCAUCCAAUUACUAUUGUGCUUAAAAUAUAUUCAUCAAGGAGGAGGAUCUUUAAUUUGUAGGAAUCUUGCCGAGGGCAGUUUCGAUGCUUGUCAACCCAUUCAAUAAUUUUUUGCACUAUCUACAAGUGGUAUUAGUUUGGAUUCUCACUUAUUACAAUUUGGUCAUUUAUAUCAACUUACCACUAUUUUUUUCAGGUAGUAGAAUACUAAAAAUAUAUUGUUCUUUUAUUGACCUUAUAUGCAUUAAUAUGUGGCUACACCUACUUACAUGUUCCAAUGUGAAUGUCUAUCUUUAUGUAAUAGAUGUCUUCAGUGGAGUAGGUUAAUUAAAUAUGUUGAUUUAGAGGAGCCAUUACAGCAGACCUUUAUUACCAGCCAUUUCUCUGUACUCUGUGGUUAUUUUAAGACAACAAAACUCAUGAAAUAGAUGGAAUAAGAACAACUUAUUUUCUUUAUCCUACAUCUGAUCUUAAAUCUCUGUCUCCUGUAUAAUGUUGAUUUUAAAGAAGAUAGACAGGAUAUAAUCUUAUGGAUCAAAUUUGUCAAGUGGCCACACAUAAGAAUCUCAUAUGGUUGAGAUUGUCCCAAAAUUAUAUAGAUUCUGUGAGGUUCACUCGGUUUGUCCAGUUGAGGAGUAUGUGAGCUGGACACUAGUAAUAUAGAAUAAAUCAUGCUUGGAACUUUUUAAGAUAUGGUACAACUAGAUUAAUUUUUGUAUUUUCUUUUAGGAUAUGAUAGGAUUAUAUUACCUUAUAUCAUAAUGUUCUUCCAAAAGAAAGAGAAAACAUUUGUUAUGUGAAUUCUGAUAGCCAUUCAAAGCAAUCUGAUAUCGUUUGUUGGAUGUUGCAUGCUGAUUAUAAAUUGUCUAAAAUAUUUGACCUUUGAUGAGAAUGUCUAAUAAGACAUGCAGAACGGUGACUUUUCAGAAAUUAUUCUGGAGGAAGGACAAAACUUUUUUAUCAUGCUCAAUUACAAAUCUGUUAUGUUAACUUGCUGUCCUAAAUAGGCUCUUGGAAUGAUCUUAGACCACAUGAAUGUAAAAUAACAACCCAGUUUUGUUGAUUGUUUAGUUCAAUUCUGUAUGUUCGAUUGUGCCGGCUCACUACUUGUGCACAUUUUUAUUUGAAGUUAUAUAACUAAAUCAUAUAUUAAUUUAUAAUAAUAUUAAAUCUUUGUACUAUUUGAUCUCUAUUAAUGGUUAAAACAAUUUAAUGCCUGCUUGAAUUUUUAACUUCUAGUUGUAAAUGUUUUAGCAUUAUGACAUAGUUGCUGAGUUGGUGUUUUCUUUUUCACCUAUCCUGAGACUAUUAACCUUGUAAUUUGUUUCUUGUACUCAUUGAAACUCGUGUAGUAGUAAAUCAAAUAAUAGAUUGCAAUUGUAUCAGUUUGGAUAGCCUGUAAAGAUCUGAACUUCUGUAGAUAGAUGAGCCAACUUGAUGUUUGUCCAUUGGUCCUACUCUGACUGAUCCAUGGACUUGGCCAUAAGACGAGCCAUGUUCUGCAUGGUUCAUAACUUCUAUAAGAGGCACUAUGGAUAAGAAGGUCUCCUGGAGAGGUCUCUAAAGGAUUUUUCCUCUGAGUUCCUUUAUUUCUUUGGUAGUUUGAUAUCAUGUUAUCUUGGGCUGUCUAGUUUGACAAACAGAUAUUAGCAUUAGGCCACGUCAAGGACUUUCAUUCUCCAAGACUUGAAGACCAUGUAUGAUAGAUCAUGGUCUUCUUGUUAAAAAAAAUUAUACUCUGAUGAUUGCUUAUAUUAUGUUAAAGAAAUUUAAUUACUGUAAAACUAAUAUAUUUACCACAGUUGAAACCGCCACAGAUUUGAGAUUAUGGUAUAAAUUUAUCUAUCCUCUGAGCCAUAGUCAGGCAACUACAUCUCUGAAACUUUCAAAUCUUUGUAAAUCAACUAGUGUUGAUUAAUAUAGAAAUUUUCUCCUUAUAAGUCCUGAAUUAUGAGAACCUCGAUUUUCCAUACUAAGGUUUUAGAAGUCAGAAAAUUCCCUGAUUUGUUCGGCAGUUGCCAUCACUGAAGAGGUUGAAAAAAUUAGCCGCCUUCUGAUUUUGUUUUGUCCUACACAUGGCCCUUAUUGGGACAAAGUAAGCCCUAAUCACGGACAGUGCGCCCAGAUUCCUUUGUUGAGACUGCCUUCCAUUUAUCCUGUUUAUUUUAAGGAAAAUGGGGAUCACUGCCCAACCACUGCCGCCAUCCUCCCUUAACCCAGAAGAAAGGAGAAGAUAGAGGAGAGAAAAACGAGAUCAUGAGGAAAGGCUGGAAGUGGAAAAGGAACUGAAAGGAGAGAUGAUAGAAAAGAUUCCAUAAUUAUUAUCUGCAAGGUAAAUUUAUGAUUAACUAGGGAAAAGUUGUCCAUUUCUAACUGGUUGGUAAAAAUUGACCUCCAUCAAUUUCUGGGAUCUGCUUCUUAGUCCACAGUCCAAAAGUUGUCAGACUUGUGUUGGGUGUUUAUUAGACUAGCUAAAUUAAUAGAACUUUUUUUUGCAUCAUGCAGGAAAGAAGUGUGCCUGUUCUCGUCCUUUCUGCUGGUAUUGCAGACAUCAUUGAAGAGGUUUUCAGGCAGAAACUUCAUAGAUCUUUUGAGAAUAUUAGGGUUGUUUCUAACAGAAUGGUGUUUUACGAAAAGGGUCAUCUUGUUGCUGAUAAAGGUAAUUCUUUAUUUUUUUAGUUCUUCAAAAUAUCCAGUAAACAGAAGCUAAUAUUUUAUGGUUUUGUUCCUUUGAACAUAUAAGUCAUAGCCUAGAUUCUUUAAGCGUACGAAUGCUUUUGCUUGUUCAAGGUCUAUUUGCAGUUGACCUUUCAUCUCAAUAUGACAAUUCCAGAGUUGGGAUUUUUUAAAGCGCCAAAGAUCGUAUAAGAUAACUACACAAUGAAGUUUAAAAUUGAUCAUAGCUGGAAAUAUUGUGAUGAAUUUUGAUAAAUAUUUCAUAUUAAUUAUGAAAAAGCUUGGAUAUAAAAGAUGCAGAAAAAAGAUUGAUGAACUAAUCUGAGAAGUUACAUAAAAAAUUAUCUUUCUUUUUAACUAAAUUGGGGUCAAUAGGAAAAGGUAAAAUAUAAGAUUCCGGUGGUUAUCAGAUUAUCAUGUCAUAUUAUGAGAUUGUGUUAAUACCUUCACAGCAGGUUUGUUCGUGCUAGUCAGCAGGUUCAUGUACAAAUCAGCAUAGGCAAAAAACUGGCUUGGCUGUUGGCAUUUCGAGCAUGGUCUGUUAUGGUGUGUGGCCUACCUACUCUUUGCAUUGUAGGUUUUGACAAUCUCAACAUUUUCCUAUCAGUGUGGUAACCCAGGGACUUAUUACCCAAAAUACCUAAACCCCACUACAAACUGAAAAAAGGGAAAGUGAACCAUGUUCAUCCUUAAAUUAUUUCAUUCAUGAAUUUUACUAUGCAUUUUUCUACUUCUCGUGAUGUACUGCUUUGCUGCAACUGAUAGUGGUCACAUGGAAGAAUGAGCCUCCUUCAGAUAUGGCUGCUCGUAUUCAUAACAGAUUCGAAGCUCCUAAUCGUCUAACCAUGGUAAUGUUGUGGUGAAGAAAAGAACUAAUGUGAUACUUCUCGGAGAUCAUAUCACAGACCUAGUCACGGUAGCUGUUCGAUUUCUGUAAGUAAUCUUCUAGAUUGUAAUAACUCAUUGGUGUCUAAGUUUCAGGCACAAUUCUUCCUUUACAACUGUAGCAAGAUAUAUAUAUUUUUUCACCAUCGGUGGUAAAUAUGUCACAACUGUUGUAUGAUUUGGCAGACAGUUUUUUGACAAAUAAGAUGUAAUUGAAGUUCUUGGUACA